AUUGAACGCUGGCGGCAUGCUUUACACAUGCAAGUCGAACGGUAACAGGGUGCUUGCACCGCUGACGAGUGGCGAACGGGUGAGUAAUGCGUCGGAACGUGCCGAGUAGUGGGGGAUAACGCAGCGAAAGUUGUGCUAAUACCGCAUACGUACUGAGGUAGAAAGUGGGGGACCUUCGGGCCUCACGCUAUUUGAGCGGCCGACGUCUGAUUAGCUAGUAGGUGAGGUAAAGGCUCACCUAGGCGACGAUCAGUAGCGGGUCUGAGAGGAUGAUCCGCCACACUGGGACUGAGACACGGCCCAGACUCCUACGGGAGGCAGCAGUGGGGAAUUUUGGACAAUGGGCGAAAGCCUGAUCCAGCCAUGCCGCGUGUCUGAAGAAGGCCUUCGGGUUGUAAAGGACUUUUGUCGGGGAGGAAAUCCCCAGCAUUAAUACCGCUGGGGGAUGACAGUACCUGAAGAAUAAGCACCGGCUAACUACGUGCCAGCCGCCGCAGUAAGAC
rnacentral:rRNA from 1 species